UACGGAGGGGGCAAGCGUUAUCCGGAUUCACUGGGUUUAAAGGGUGCGUAGGUGGGCAUGUAAGUCAGUGGUGAAAUCUCCGGGCUUAACCCGGAAACUGCCAUUGAUACUAUUUGUCUUGAAUACUGUGGAGGUCAGCGGAAUAUGUCAUGUAGCGGUGAAAUGCUUAGAUAUGACAUAGAACACCAAUUGCGGAGGCAGCUGGCUACACAAAUAUUGACACUGAGGCACGAAAGCGUGGGGAUCAAACAGG
rnacentral:rRNA from 1 species